CCUAGCUUGCUAGGUGUCCUUAGUGGCGCACGGGUGAGUAACACGUGGGAACUUACCUCAGAGUACGGAAUAACUAUGGGAAACUAUAGCUAAUACCGUAUAUUCCGGAAACGGGAAAGAUUUAUCGCUCUGAGAUAGGCCCGCGCAAGAUUAGUUUGUUGGUGAGGUAAUGGCUCACCAAGGCUACGAUCUAUAGCUGGUUUUAGAGGAUGAUCAGCAACACUGGGACUGAGACACGGCCCAGACUCCUACGGGAGGCAGCAGUGGGGAAUCUUAGACAAUGGGCGCAAGCCUGAUCUAGCCAUGCCGCGUGUGUGAUGAAGGUCUUAGGAUCGUAAAGCACUUUCGCCAGGGAUGAUAAUGACAGUACCUGGUAAAGAAACCCCGGCUAACUCCGUGCCAGCAGCCGCGGUAAUACGGAGGGGGUUAGCGUUGUUCGGAAUUACUGGGCGUAAAGCGUACGUAGGCGGAUUGGAAAGUUGGGGGUGAAAUCC
rnacentral:rRNA from 1 species